UAAUCUAUUUAAAUCAGAUCCUCAUUUAAUUAUGAUAGACUCGCACCCGACUGCUUAAAAUCAUUUAUUACUAUAUGAAUAAUAUUUUUUUAAGAUUUUAAUUGGAGU
rnacentral:pre_miRNA from 1 species